GAUGAAGAACGCAGCGAAAUGCGAUAAGUAAUGUGAAUUGCAGAAUUCAGUGAAUCAUCGAAUCUUUGAACGCACAUUGCGCCCCUUGGUAUUCCGAGGGGCAUGCCUGUUCGAGCGUCACUAUAACCCCUCAAGCUCAGCUUGGUGUUGGGGCCUGCUGCACUGGCAGCCCUUAAAAUCAGUGGCGGCGCCAUCUGGCUCUAAGCGUAGUAAUUCUUCUCGCUAUGGAGUCCUGGUGGAUGCUUGCCAUCAACCCCCAAUUUUUCUAUGGUUGACCUCGGAUCAGGUAGGGAUACCCGCUGAACUUAAGCAUAUCAAUAAGCGGAGGA
rnacentral:misc_RNA from 1 species